rnacentral:lncRNA from 1 species
UCUGUUUUCUUGGACAGGUACCUAUUUCAACGGCGAGGAUCUCCGACAACUGUCGUCCAAGCUCUCAUUCAGACUCACGGCAGGACGCAAUAGAGCCGUGCACUUUGCUAAGAUUCAGGAGAACUCGGGCGCAGCAAAGCACACUUCCAGGUUUUUCCACCGGUAGUUGGUACCUCCCGCUCUCUUGCUUAUUUUGUGCACAUUCUUUACGUAUUUUUACUAGCAUUCCGAGUGUGGUCUAUUCUGUUGUUAUCUAAUAUAGAAACCCAAUUAAUGGUACGUUUAAUUCUCGAGUAGGGGGUGAGGAUGAUGAUGAAAUGCUUACUACCCAAGAUUGGACUAAUGUUAAAAUUCUU